rnacentral:rRNA from 1 species
AACGAACGCUGGCGGCAGGCCUAACACAUGCAAGUCGAGCGCCCUUUCGGGGGAGCGGCGGACGGGUGAGUAACGCGUGGGAAUAUGCCCUUCUCUACGGAAUAGCCUCGGGAAACUGAGAGUAAUACCGUAUACGCCCUGUGGGGGGAAGAUUUAUCGGGGAAGGAUUAGCCCGCGUUGGAUUAGGUAGUUGGUGGGGUAAUGGCCUACCAAGCCGACGAUCCAUAGCUGGUUUGAGAGGAUGAUCAGCCACACUGGGACUGAGACACGGCCCAGACUCCUACGGGAGGCAGCAGUGGGGAAUCUUAGACAAUGGGGGCAACCCUGAUCUAGCCAUGCCGCGUGAGUGAUGAAGGCCUUAGGGUUGUAAAGCUCUUUCAGCUGGGAAGAUAAUGACGGUACCAGCAGAAGAAGCCCCGGCUAACUCCGUG